rnacentral:rRNA from 1 species
GACAGCAUUAUCAUGUACAUGGCAGGUUUCCACUGGAACUAAAUUGCACCGUUUUUUCUACACACAUACAUACUCCAAUGGAAACGCGGUGCAUAGCAAGGUUAAAUUAGCCCUUU